GUACUGAUUUCGACUUUUGGAAGCCCCUCGUUUCGUUAUUUUGAAUUUCAGAUCCAACACAAUCUCUCCUGUGUGGAUCUGGGAUUCUCUCUUCUUUCUAUGUAUUGGAUGUUUGGCAACGCGAGUGCCGCUCCCGAUUUUAGAUUUGAGCAACUAGCCAUAAUGGGUGCUGGAUGUGACUGGGCGGCUGUUUUAGCCAAGACACCCACAUACCAACACUCCGAAAGACUCAUGCUUUCUUUUUUUUUGCUAUUUUUUCAUUUGGAUAUUUCCCCCAAAUAGCAGAGUCUUUCGGCGGGGUUUUCUUGUUCUUCAAAUUUCAAAACCCGGCGAGCGCUUCGACUUGAACUCUGCUCGGGAGGUUAAAGGGUAUCGCCCGCGAAUGCUUGAAUGCGCGACCAAUGAAAGCGCAGGGGAAUUUCGGUGUGAAUACGGAAUAGUUAACAUCGUUAACUAUUACGUAAUUCCGGUUCCAAUGAAUGUCUCGCUGAUCUGAGGAUCUUGAGAUAUGCUUGCCCAUUCCGACUUCGACCGUGGAAUAGGCAGGGCGGACCAGUUUUUUUUGCAUCGCGAGUGGACGGUAAAAAGUUAGUUUAAAAUAAGUUUUUCCGAGAAAUCGAAAAGUGUAAUUCUUCGCUUGUGUUCCCGUUUAGCGAAAUCAAAGGAAGGAGCCGUAUCCUGACCCCAUGAUCGAAGAUUGGAUCUUCGCCACCACAUCAGUCAAACCAGGUGGCCGCGCGAAGCGCGAAUCGUCACUCGAAUCAAGGGAAGGCGCCGCACGGCACCACUACACGUCGGAUGCGCAUUCAACGUCUACGUCCCAUCAUCUACGCCUACGGACUCGUCAUUCAUCGCCUACCGUGGAACGGCGGUAAAGUAGAUGCACGUAAAGCCUAGGUAGUGUGAGUACAAAACUUCUUUCACCCUAAAAAUAACAUGCGCAUGUAGGGUUAAGAUCAAAAAUAAAAACCACACACAAAUUAACAACGCCACACAAAAAAAUGCCACACAAUUUAGAAGCAUAGAGCAAUACCGUCAGCGUGCACAUGCUGCUCGCUAGCAAGAAGGGUUCACACAAGAUGGAGAAUUAGACUCGAUAGUAAGAUCGCUGGGCUUGAAUUCCAGGGUCCGGUGUUCGAAACCCAUAUGAGGAUUUAGUGAAAUAAAUUUAG